rnacentral:piRNA from 1 species
UAAGGUUUACUUGAAAACUUAACAGGCC